UUCGGCUUAGAGUUUGAUCCUGGCUCAGAUUGAACGCUAGCGGGAUGCUUUACACAUGCAAGUCGGACGGCAGCACGAAGAGCUUGCUCUUUGGUGGCGAGUGGCGAACGGGUGAGUAAUGUAUCGGAACGUGCCCAGUAGCGGGGGAUAACUACGCGAAAGCGUGGCUAAUACCGCAUACGCCCUACGGGGGAAAGGGGGGGAUCGCAAGACCUCUCACUAUUGGAGCGGCCGAUAUCGGAUUAGCUAGUUGGUGGGGUAAAGGCCUACCAAGGCGACGAUCCGUAGCUGGUUUGAGAGGACGACCAGCCACACUGGGACUGAGACACGGCCCAGACUCCUACGGGAGGCAGCAGUGGGGAAUUUUGGACAAUGGGGGCAACCCUGAUCCAGCCAUCCCGCGUGUGCGAUGAAGGCCUUCGGGUUGUAAAGCACUUUUGGCAGGGAAGAAACAGUUCGGGUUAAUAA
rnacentral:rRNA from 1 species